rnacentral:rRNA from 1 species
GACGGAAGGUGCAAGCGUUGCUCGGAAUCACUGGGCGUAAAGGGUGCGUAGGCGGCUUGGUAGGUCUGGUGUGAAAGCCCCGGGCUCAGCCCGGGAAGGGCACUAGAAACUGCCAAGCUAGAGUGCCGGAGGGGAGAGUGGAAUUCCUGGUGUAGCGGUGAAAUGCGUAGAUAUCAAGAGGAACACCUGAGGUGAAGACGGGUUGCUGGGCUGACACUGACGCUGAGGCGCGAAAGCUAGGGUAGCAAACGGG